rnacentral:rRNA from 1 species
AGUGAGGAAUAUUGGGCAAUGGAGGCAACUCUGACCCAGCCAUACCGCGUGAAGGACGACGGCCCUAUGGGUUGUAAACUUCUUUUAUAUGGGAGGAAUAAGAGCUACGUGUAGCUUGAUGACAGUACCAUAUGAAUAAGCACCGGCUAACUCCGUGCCAGCAGCCGCGGUAAUACGGAGGGUGCAAGCGUUAUCCGGAUUUAUUGGGUUUAAAGGGUCCGUAGGCGGACUGGUAAGUCAGUGGUGAAAUCCUAUCGCUUAACGAUAGAACUGCCAUUGAAACUGCUAGUCUUGAAUUAUUUUGAAGUUGGCGGAAUGAGUAGUGUAGCGGUGAAAUGCAUAGAUAUUACUCAGAACACCGAUUGCGAAGGCAGCUGACUAAGAAUAUAUUGACGCUGAUGGACGAAAGCGUAGGUAGCGAACAGGAUUAGAUACCCUGGUAGUCUACGCAGUAAACGAUGGAUACUCGUUGUCGGGAAAAUUGAGACUCGGUGGCUAAGCGAAAGUGAUAAGUAUCCCACCUGGGGAGUACGAUCGCAAGAUUGAAACUCAAAGGAAUUGACGGGGGCCCGCACAAGCGGUGGAGCAUGUGGUUUAAUUCGAUGAUACGCGAGGAACCUUACCUGGGCUUAAAUGUAUUUUGACAGGACUAGAAAUAGUUUUUCCCGCAAGGGCAAUUUACAAGGUGCUGCAUGGUUGUCGUCAGCUCGUGCCGUGAGGUGUCAGGUUAAGUCCUAUAACGAGCGCAACCCCUAUCGAUAGUUGCUAGCAGGUAAUGCUGAGGACUCUAUUGAGACUGCCGGUGCAAACCGUGAGGAAGGUGGGGAUGACGUCAAAUCAUCACGGCCCUUACGUCCAGGGCCACACACGUGCUACAAUGGUGCAUACAGAGAGCAGCCAUCUGGUGACAGAGAGCGAAUCUUCAAAGUGCAUCACAGUUCGGAUCGUAGUCUGCAACUCGACUACGUGAAGCUGGAAUCGCUAGUAAUCGCAGAUCAGCCAUGCUGCGGUGAAUACGU